AUUGAACGCUGGCGGAAUGCUUUACACAUGCAAGUCGAACGGCAGCACGGACUUCGGUCUGGUGGCGAGUGGCGAACGGGUGAGUAACAUAUCGGAACGUAUCCAAUAAUGGGGGAUAACGAGUCGAAAGAUUCGCUAAUACCGCAUACGCCCUACGGGGGAAAGCUGGGGACCUUCGGGCCUGGCGCUAAUGGAGCGGCCGAUAUCUGAUUAGCUAGUUGGUGAGGUAAAGGAUCAUCAAGGAGACGAUCAGUAGCUGGUCUGAGAGGACGACCAGCCACACUGGAACUGAGACACGGUCCAGACGCCUACGGGAGGAAGCAGUGGGGAAUUUUGGACAAUGGGCGCAAGCCUGAUCCAGCCAUUCCGCGUGAGUGAAGAAGGCCUUCGGGUUGUAAAGCUCUUUCGCAAGGGAAGAAAACUUAGCCACUAACAUUGGUUGAGGUUGACGGUACCUUGAUAAGAAGCACCGGCUAACUACGUGCCAGCCGCCGCGGUAA
rnacentral:rRNA from 1 species